rnacentral:rRNA from 1 species
GAUUUCUGGCUUGAAACAUUUUGCCGGCCACGGUUUCGUGUGUUAGUGCUUGAUGUUCUGGCCAUCCUUCCAAUCGCUAUUGGUUACUCUUCAUUGAGUGGUCAGUAGUAUUGGAUCUUUUACUUUGAAAAAAUUAGAGUGUUUCAAGCAGGCUUUAUGCUAUGAAUACAUUAGCAUGGAAUAAUAAUUUAGGACUUCGGUUCUAUUUUGUUGGUUUCUAGAAUGGAAGUAAUGAUUGAUAGGGAUAGUUGGGGGUGCUAGUAUUCAGUGGCCAGAGGUGAAAUUCUCGGAUUCACUGAAGACUAACUUAUGCGAAAGCAUU